UGGGGAAUAUUGGACAAUGGGCGAAAGCCUGAUCCAGCCAUGCCGCGUGUGUGAAGAAGGCCUUUUGGUUGUAAAGCACUUUAAGCGAGGAGGAGGCUACUUAGAUUAAUACCCUAGGAUAGUGGACGUUACUCGCAGAAUAAGCACCGGCUAACUCUGUGCCAGCAGCCGCGGUAAUACAGAGGGUGCGAGCGUUAAUCGGAUUUACUGGGCGUAAAGCGUGCGUAGGCGGCUUCUUAAGUCGGAUGUGAAAUCCCUGAGCUUAACUUAGGAAUUGCAUUCGAUACUGGGAAGCUAGAGUAUGGGAGAGGAUGGUAGAAUUCCAGGUGUAGCGGUGAAAUGCGUAGAGAUCUGGAGGAAUACCGAUGGCGAAGGCAGCCAUCUGGCCUAAUACUGACGCUGAGGUACGAAAGCAUGGGGAGCAAACAGG
rnacentral:rRNA from 3 species